rnacentral:misc_RNA from 1 species
GGAAGGAUCAUUAACACGAUCUAAUCCCUUUAACCUUGUGUCCACCUGUGAAUUUGUCUUUAUACUUUUUCAAACUUCUUUUGAUCCAAGCAAUUUCUUGGCUAAGGUCUUCGGACCCACGCUAAGUAAAUUCUUAAUCAAAAAACAACUGCUAACAUUGGAUGUCUUGGUUCUCGCAACGAUGAAGAACGCAGCGAAAUGCGAUAAGUAGUGUGAAUCGUAGAAUUCAGUGAAUCAUCAAAUCUUUGAACGCAAAUGGCACUCUUGGGCAUUCCCAGGAGUAUGCCUGUUUGAGAAUCAUUUUCUAAUCUCAUUCUUAAUUCGUUUUGAGAAUGGUAAAUGAGCGUCAUAUAGAUUUCGGUCUGAAUGUCGUUCUAAGCAAAUAAUGCUUGGAUGUUCUAAGCUGAGAAAUUAGGUGAGGUUCUUUAUUGAAUCAAACUAAGUUUCUUAAGCUGAAUGUCUAGGACAUUUCAUUUGAACUCGGCUAAUCCUACAUGAUCUCAAAUCAGGCAAGACUACCCGCUGAAUUGAAGCAUCUCACUAAGCGGAGGAAAAGAAACUAACCAGGAUUCCCCUAGUAACGGCGAGUGAAGCGGGAAUAGCUCAAUCUUAAAAUCGAAGGGUUCCGCUCUUCGAGUUGUAGAUUAGAGAGGCGUUUUCGAGGGAGGUCCCAGGUAUAAGUUUCCCUGGAAAGGGGCAUCAUAGAGGGUGACAAUCCCGUAUAUGAUCUGGGUACUUUUCUCAUACGGAACGCUUUCGAAGAGUCGAGUUGCUCGGGAAUGCAGCUCUAAACGGGUGGUAAAUUUCAUCUAAAGCUAAAUAUUGGCGAGAGACCGAUAGCGAACAAGUACCGCGAGGGAAAGAUGAAAAGAACUUUGAAAAGAGGGUUAAAAGGGCCUGAAAUUGUUAGCAGGGAAACGAUUAAAACUAGGCAUAUGCCCUAGGAUUCGGUUGGGACUUUUUGGGUUCCGUGGUAUAGGCGAUCGUAAGACGCUUGUGCUAUGUGAUUCAAAAAGACCUGGCUUACUUUCUUAGGGCGUGCGCCAACAUCAGUUAGGACUUCAGGUGAAGUCUAUUGGGAAGGUAGGUUGGCCCAAAAGGCUGACUGUUAUAUCCCAGUAGAACUACUGUUGGCCUGACUGAGGCACUCUUCAGUGCGCGCUCAGCUUUGUGGCCGCUGGUCUGUUUAUCCUUGGUUAUUUGGACAGCCUAGCUGUGCAUUGGCCAAGGGUAGAUACUUCUGGACGGCCUUACAUACGCGCGCUCAAGAUGUUGGCACAACGGUUUUAACCGACCCCGUCUUGAAACACGGACCAAGGAGUCUAACAUAUAUGCGAGUAUUUGGGUGGCAAACCCAAGUGCGUAAUGAAAGUAAUAGGUGCGAGCCUUGAUUUCUAUCAUGGUGCAGCACCGACCGAUCUGGAGGUUUUCUGAAAGAUUUGAGUAGGAGCAUAUCUGUUGGGACCCGAAAGAUGGUGAACUAUGCCUGGAGAGGAUGAAGCCAGAGGAAACUCUGGUGGAGGUCCGUAGCGGUUCUGACGUGCAAAUCGAUCGUCAAAUCUGGGUAUAGAGGCGAAAGACUAAUCGAACCAUCUAGUAGCUGGUUCCCUC